rnacentral:rRNA from 1 species
CAUGCGGCGGACUACACAUGCAAGUCGAACGGUAGCACAGAGAGCUUGCUCUCGGGUGACGAGUGGCGGACGGGUGAGUAAUGUCUGGGAAACUGCCUGAUGGAGGGGGAUAACUACUGGAAACGGUAGCUAAUACCGCAUAACGUCGCAAGACCAAAGAGGGGGACCUUCGGGCCUCUUGCCAUCAGAUGUGCCCAGAUGGGAUUAGCUAGUAGGCGGGGUAAUGGCCCACCUAGGCGACGAUCCCUAGCUGGUCUGAGAGGAUGACCAGCCACACUGGAACUGAGACACGGUCCAGACUCCUACGGGAGGCAGCAGUGGGGAAUAUUGCACAAUGGGCGCAAGCCUGAUGCAGCCAUGCCGCGUGUGUGAAGAAGGCCUUCGGGUUGUAAAGCACUUUCAGCGGGGAGGAAGGCGGUACGGUUAAUAACCGUGCCGAUUGACGUUACCCGCAGAAGAAGCACCGGCUAACUCCGUGCCAGCAGCCGCGGUAAUACGGAGGGUGCAAGCGUUAAUCGGAAUUACUGGGCGUAAAGCGCACGCAGGCGGUCUGUCAAGUCGGAUGUGAAAUCCCCGGGCUCAACCUGGGAACUGCAUUCGAAACUGGCAGGCUGGAGUCUCGUAGAGGGAGGUAGAAUUCC